rnacentral:rRNA from 1 species
CGUUCCCGGGCCUUGUACACACCGCCCGUCACGUCACGAAAGUCGGUAACACCCGAAGCCGGUGGCCCAACCCCUUGUGGGAGGGAGGCUGUCGAAGGUGGGACUGGCGAUUGGGACG